AAUAACAGAUGAGUAAAUCAUAACAGAGACAGUAAAUAAUUGCAAUAUGCUAACCAAUAUGUUAAUUUUUUGUUUUCUUUUAAGGCUAGAGUGCAGGUCACAGAACCAGGCUCCCAGCCAGUAAUGCUCUCUGUACAGUCUAUGGAACCACACUAACCAAUCACUGACAUACAAGAAACAUCCUUAAAUAUACCAAACAAGCAGUGUCCAAUGAAGCCCAAAUUCAACAUCUUCAAUAUUCCCUGGCAUCACUGACAGGAAAUUCAAUUCAUGGGACAAAAGUGAAGAUGACAUAUUUAUCUGGGGGAAUUCCAUAGUGAAUAUUAGGGCUGAACGAUUUUGUAAAAUAAUCUAAUUGCGAUUUUUCUCCUCAAUAUUGCGAUUGCGAUUUAAUAUGCGAUUAUUUUUCCCCUUCUUAUGCAUUAAAAAACCACACACACGCACACACAACAGAAUUAAUGAAUCUGUUUCAUAAUAAACAAUAUAUUUUUUUAAAGUGCAAACAACACAAUGCAACACAACAACAAUGCAAACAAACUGACUUUACUUGUUCAACUUUAGUUUUAUGUAAGCCUAUGUAGGUCUACUCUUUUUAAACACUGAACUAUAAACACUGAACCUUAUAGAUUUAUAACAAUCUAUAAAUAAAUACAAUUACAGGUAUAAAACAAAUAAACCUUACUGAUCUCUACGUGGUGUUGCCUCGUGAGGUAGCAACUGUAGCAA